ACGAACGCUGGCGGCGUGCUUCACCCCUGCCAGUCGAACGAUGAAGCCUUAGCUUGCUUUGGUGGAUUAGUGGCGAACGGGUGAGUAACACGUGAGCAACGUGCCCAGGACUCUGGAAUAACCGCGGGAAACCGUGGCUAAUACCGGAUAGGUGCCGAGGCCGCAUGGUCUUCGGUUGGAAAGUUUUUGCGGUUCUGGAUCGGCUCACGGCCUAUCAGCUUGUUGGUGGGGUAAUGGCCUACCAAGGCGACGACGGGUAGCCGGCCUGAGAGGGUGACCGGCCACACUGGGACUGAGACACGGCCCAGACUCCUACGGGAGGCAGCAGUGGGGAAUAUUGCACAAUGGGCGCAAGCCUGAUGCAGCAACGCCGCGUGGGGGAUGACGGCCUUCGGGUUGUAAACCUCUUUUAGUAGGGAAGAAGCGCAAGUGACGGUACCUGCAGAAAAAGCACCGGCUAACUACGUG
rnacentral:rRNA from 1 species